UUAUCGUUUAUUUGAUAGUACCUUACUACUUGGAUAACCGUGGUAAUUCUAGAGCUAAUACAUGCUAAAAACCUCGACUUCGGAAGGGGUGUAUUUAUUAGAUAAAAAACCAAUGCCCUUCGGGGCUCCUUGGUGAAUCAUAAUAACUUAACGAAUCGCAUGGCCUUGCGCCGGCGAUGGUUCAUUCAAAUUUCUGCCCUAUCAACUUUCGAUGGUAGGAUAGUGGCCUACCAUGGUAUCAACGGGUAACGGGGAAUUAGGGUUCGACUCCGGAGAGGGAGCCUGAGAAACGGCUACCACAUCCAAGGAAGGCAGCAGGCGCGCAAAUUACCCAAUCCCGACACGGGGAGGUAGUGACAAUAAAUACUGAUACAGGGCUCUUUUGGGUCUUGUAAUUGGAAUGAGUACAAUUUAAAUCCCUUAACGAGGAACAAUUGGAGGGCAAGUCUGGUGCCAGCAGCCGCGGUAAUUCCAGCUCCAAUAGCGUAUAUUAAAGUUGUUGCAGUUAAAAAGCUCGUAGUUGAACCUUGGGCCUGGCUGGCCGGUCCGCCUCACCGCGUGUACUGGUCCGGCCGGGCCUUUCCUUCUGGGGAACCGCAUGCCCUUCACUGGGCGUGUCGGGGAACCAGGACUUUUACUUUGAAAAAAUUAGAGUGUUCAAAGCAGGCCUUUGCUCGAAUACAUUAGCAUGGAAUAAUAGAAUAGGACGUGUGGUUCUAUUUUGUUGGUUUCUAGGACCGCCGUAAUGAUUAAUAGGGAUAGUCGGGGGCAUCAGUAUUCAAUUGUCAGAGGUGAAAUUCUUGGAUUUAUUGAAGACUAACUACUGCGAAAGCAUUUGCCAAGGAUGUUUUCAUUAAUCAGUGAACGAAAGUUAGGGGAUCGAAGACGAUCAGAUACCGUCGUAGUCUUAACCAUAAACUAUGCCGACUAGGGAUCGGACGGUGUUAUUAUUUUGACCCGUUCGGCACCUUACGAGAAAUCAAAGUUUUUGGGUUCUGGGGGGAGUAUGGUCGCAAGGCUGAAACUUAAAGAAAUUGACGGAAGGGCACCACCAGGCGUGGAGCCUGCGGCUUAAUUUGACUCAACACGGGGAAACUCACCAGGUCCAGACACAAUAAGGAUUGACAGAUUGAGAGCUCUUUCUUGAUUUUGUGGGUGGUGGUGCAUGGCCGUUCUUAGUUGGUGGAGUGAUUUGUCUGCUUAAUUGCGAUAACGAACGAGACCUUAACCUGCUAAAUAGCCAGGCCCGCUUUGGCGGGUCGCCGGCUUCUUAGAGGGACUAUCGGCUCAAGCCGAUGGAAGUUUGAGGCAAUAACAGGUCUGUGAUGCCCUUAGAUGUUCUGGGCCGCACGCGCGCUACACUGACAGAGCCAACGAGUUUAUUUCCUUGGCCGGAAGGUCUGGGUAAUCUUGUUAAACUCUGUCGUGCUGGGGAUAGAGCAUUGCAAUUAUUGCUCUUCAACGAGGAAUGCCUAGUAAGCGCAUGUCAUCAGCAUGCGUUGAUUACGUCCCUGCCCUUUGUACACACCGCCCGUCGCUACUACCGAUUGAAUGGCUCAGUGAGGCCUUCGGACUGGCCCAGGGAGGUCGGCAACGACCACCCAGGGCCGGAAAGUUCGUCAAACUUGGUCAUUUAGAGGAAGUAAAAGUCGUAACAAGGUCUCCGUAGGUGAACCUGCGGAGGGAUCAUUAACCGUAACACAGACUCGGCGCGGACUCCGGUCCCCGAGGAAAUGUCACACCCUUUGUUGUCCGACCACGUUGCCUCGGGGGUGACCCUGCCUUCGGGCUCGGUCCCCCCGGUGGACCAAACCAAACUCUUGCGUAACUUUGCAGUCUGAGUGAUUUUAUAAAUAAAUCAAAACUUUCAACAACGGAUCUCUUGGUUCUGGCAUCGAUGAAGAACGCAGCGAAAUGCGAUAAGUAAUGUGAAUUGCAGAAUUCAGUGAAUCAUCGAAUCUUUGAACGCACAUUGCGCCCCGUGGUAUUCCGCGGGGCAUGCCUGUUCGAGCGUCAUUACACCACUCAAGCCUCGCUUGGUAUUGGGCGACGCGGUCCGCCGCGCGCCUCAAAUCUUCCGACUGGGUUCGAUCGUCCCUCAGCGUUGUGGAAACUAUUCGCUAAAGGUGCACUUUCGGGUCACGCCGUUAAACAAACCCCAUUCAAAGGUUGACCUCGGAUCAGGUAGGGAUACCCGCUGAACUUAAGCAUAUCAAUAAGCGGAGGAAAAGAAACCAACAGGGAUUGCCCUAGUAACGGCGAGUGAAGCGGCAAAAGCUCAAAUUUGAAAUCUGGCGCCUUUGGCGUCCGAGUUGUAAUUUGUAGAGGAUGCUUCUGGGCGGGCGCCGGUCUAAGUUCCUUGGAACAGGACGUCAUAGAGGGUGAGAAUCCCGUAUGUGACCGGAAAGCCACCCUCCACGUAGCUCCUUCGACGAGUCGAGUUGUUUGGGAAUGCAGCUCUAAAUGGGAGGUAAAUUUCUUCUAAAGCUAAAUACUGGCCAGAGACCGAUAGCGCACAAGUAGAGUGAUCGAAAGAUGAAAAGCACUUUGGAAAGAGAGUUAAAAAGCACGUGAAAUUGUUGAAAGGGAAGCGUUUGCAACCAGACUUGCUCGCGGUGUUCCGCCGGUCUUCUGACCGGUUCACUCGCCGCGUUGCAGGCCAGCAUCGUCUGGGGCCGCCGGAUAAGACUUUGGGAAUGUAGCUCCUCUCGGGGAGUGUUAUAGCCCAUUGUGAUGCGGCGCGUCCCGGGCGAGGUCCGCGCUUCGGCUAGGAUGCUGGCGUAAUGGUUGUAAACGGCCCGUCUUGAAACACGGACCAAGGAGUCUAACAUCUAUGCGAGUGUUCGGGUGUCAAACCCCUACGCGUAAUGAAAGUGAACGGAGGUGGGAACUUUAUUGUGCACCAUCGACCGAUCCUGAUGUCUUCGGAUGGAUUUGAGUAAGAGCAUAGCUGUUGGGACCCGAAAGAUGGUGAACUAUGCCUGAAUAGGGUGAAGCCAGAGGAAACUCUGGUGGAGGCUCGCAGCGGUUCUGACGUGCAAAUCGAUCGUCAAAUUU
rnacentral:rRNA from 1 species